rnacentral:rRNA from 1 species
CCUACGGGCGGCAGCAGUGAGGAAUAUUGGUCAAUGGCCGGAAGGCUGAACCAGCCAUGCCGCGUGAAGGUCAGUGCCCUAUGGGCGUUAAACUUCUUUUGUGCGGGAGCAAUAAUGGUCACGUGUGGCCAGACGAGAGUACCGUACGAAUAAGCAUCGGCUAACUCCGUGCCAGCAGCCGCGGUAAUACGGGGGAUGCAAGCGUUAUUCGGAUUUAUUGGGUUUAAAGGGUGCGCAGGCGGCGAGUUAAGUCAGCGGUAAAAUUUCGGGGGUCAACCCCGACAAGCCGUUGAAAAUGGCUUGCGAGAGUGGGCGAGAAGUAUGCGGAAUGCGUGGUGUAGCGGUGAAAUGCAUAGAUAUCACGCAGAACUCCGAUUGCGAAGGCAGCAUACCGGCGCCCAACUGACGCUCAGGCACGAAAGCGUGGGUAUCGAACAGGAUUAGAUACCCUGGUAGUC